AGAGUUUGAUCAUGGCUCAGAGUGAACGCUGGCGGCGUGCUUAACACAUGCAAGUCGAACGAUGAAACCUAGCUUGCUAGGUGGAUUAGUGGCGCACGGGUGAGUAAUAUAUAGAUAAUGUACCUCUUAGUCUGGGAUAGCCAUUGGAAACGAUGAUUAAUACUAGAUACUCCUUCUCCUUUUAAUUGGAGUUGGGAAAGUUUUUCGCUAAGAGAUCAGUCUAUAUCCCAUCAGUUAGUUGGUAGGGUAAUGGCCUACCAAGGCAAUGACGGGUAGCGGGUUUGAGAGGAUGAUCCGCCACACUGGUACUGAGACACGGACCAGACUCCUACGGGAGGCAGCAGUGAGGAAUAUUGCACAAUGGAGGAAACUCUGAUGCAGCAACGCCGCGUGGAGGAUGACGCACUUCGGUGUGUAAACUCCUUUUAUAAGGGAAGA
rnacentral:rRNA from 1 species